ACCCUUUAAUGUUUGAUGUUCUAACGUGGACCCGUAAUCCGGGUUGCGGACAGUGUCUGGUGGGUAGUUUGACUGGGGCGGUCUCCUCCUAAAGAGUAACGGAGGAGCACGAAGGUUGGCUAAUCCUGGUCGGACAUCAGGAGGUUAGUGCAAUGGCAUAAGCCAGCUUGACUGCGAGCGUGACGGCGCGAGCAGGUGCGAAAGCAGGUCAUAGUGAUCCGGUGGUUCUGAAUGGAAGGGCCAUCGCUCAACGGAUAAAAGGUACUCCGGGGAUAACAGGCUGAUACCGCCCAAGAGUUCAUAUCGACGGCGGUGUUUGGCACCUCGAUGUCGGCUCAUCACAUCCUGGGGCUGAAGUAGGUCCCAAGGGUAUGGCUGUUCGCCAUUUAAAGUGGUACGCGAGCUGGGUUUAGAACGUCGUGAGACAGUUCGGUCCCUAUCUGCCGUGGGCGCUGGAGAACUGAGGGGGGCUGCUCCUAGUACGAGAGGACCGGAGUGGACGCAUCACUGGUGUUCGGGUUGUCAUGCCAAUGGCACUGCCCGGUAGCUAAAUGCGGAAGAGAUAAGUGCUGAAAGCAUCUAAGCACGAAACUUGCCCCGAGAUGAGUUCUCCCUGAGACUACGAGUCUCCUGAAGGAACGUUGAAGACGACGACGUUGAUAGGCCGGGUGUGUAAGCGCAGCGAUGCGUUGAGCUAACCGGUACUAAUGAACCGUGAGGCUUAACCUUACA
rnacentral:rRNA from 1 species